rnacentral:rRNA from 1 species
AUUGAACGCUGGCGGCAGGCUUAACACAUGCAAGUCGAGCGGGGGAGGUUGCUUCGGUAACUGACCUAGCGGCGGACGGGUGAGUAAUGCUUAGGAAUCUGCCUAUUAGUGGGGGACAACAUUCCGAAAGGGAUGCUAAUACCGCAUACGCCCUACGGGGGAAAGCAGGGGAUCUUCGGACCUUGCGCUAAUAGAUGAGCCUAAGUCGGAUUAGCUAGUUGGUGGGGUAAAGGCCUACCAAGGCGACGAUCUGUAGCGGGUCUGAGAGGAUGAUCCGCCACACUGGGACUGAGACACGGCCCAGACUCCUACGGGAGGCAGCAGUGGGGAAUAUUGGACAAUGGGCGGAAGCCUGAUCCAGCCAUGCCGCGUGUGUGAAGAAGGCCUUUUGGUUGUAAAGCACUUUAAGCGAGGAGGAGGCUCUUAAGGUUAAUACCCUUGAUGAGUGGACGUUACUCGCAGAAUAAGCACCGGCUAACCCUGUGCCAGCAGCCGCCGCAGGA